rnacentral:rRNA from 1 species
GAUGAACGCUGGCGGCGUGCCUAAUACAUGCAAGUCGAGCGAACGGACGAGAAGCUUGCUUUUCUGAUGUUAGCGGCGGACGGGUGAGUAACACGUGGAUAACCUACCUAUAAGACUGGGAUAACUUCGGGAAACCGGAGCUAAUACCGGAUAAUAUUUUGAACCGCAUGGUUCAAAAGUGAAAGACGGUCUUGCUGUCACUUAUAGAUGGAUCCGCGCUGCAUUAGCUAGUUGGUAAGGUAACGGCUUACCAAGGCAACGAUGCAUAGCCGACCUGAGAGGGUGAUCGGCCACCCGGGAACUUAGACACGGUCCAGACUCCUACGGGAGGCAGCAGUCGGGAAUCUUCCGCAAUGGGCGAAAGCCUGACGGAGCAACGCCGCGUGAGUGAUGAAGGUCUUCGGAUCGUAAAACUCUGUUAUUAGUGAAGAACAUAUGUGUAAGUAACUGUGCACAUCUUGACGGUACCUAAUCAGAAAGCCACGGCUAACUACGUG